UGCAUUGGGUAGCUGGCGCGUGGA
rnacentral:misc_RNA from 1 species